AGCACUUGGAGGAUGAAUAGGGAAAACUGGUAAAAUGUGAUGUACCUAGUAAUAUUAGUAAUUAAUAUUAUAUUAACUAAGUUAAUUAAAAUUCAAAGUAGGUUUUGAUAAUGACAAGUCUUGCUUAUGUCUUGACCAAGUCACGUGCCAGCAGUCGCGGUAAUACGUGGAAGAUAAGUGUUAUUCAUGUUUAAUAGGUUUAAAGGGUACCUAGACAGUUAAUUAAACACAAAACUGUAGUAAUUAACUAGAGUUUAAUAUAAGAAAGAUUGAGUACGGUGAGUGUAGAGAUAAAAUUCUGUCAUACCACUUAGGAACUGGUAAAUGCGUAGACAACUUUUUAUGUAAAAACUGACGUUGAAGGACGAAGGACCAAUAUAUUCCUCACUGCUUCUGGAUUGUUUUUUUUUUUUUUCCGCCC
rnacentral:rRNA from 1 species